GUACGCCUACAAGCGGUCGAAGCCAGCAAUGGUGACGGCGUGCCUUUUGCAUAAUGAACCUACGAGUUACUCCUCACUGGCGAGGUUAAGUUCUUAUUUAACGGAGCCGAAGCGAAAGCGAGUCCAAAUAGGGCGAUUAGUCAGUGGGGGUAGACGCGAAACUUUGUGAUCUAUCCAUGGGCAGGUUGAAGGUGUAGUAACAUACACUGGAGGACCGAACUCGUUGACGUUGAAAAGUCUUGAGAUGACCUGUGGAUAGGGGUGAAAGGCCAAUCAAACUGAGAGAUAGCUCGUUCUCCCCGAAAUGUUUUUAGGAACAGCCUUGGCUAAAGAAGUAUGAUAGAGGUAGAGCUACUGAUUGGGCUAGGGGGCUUCAUCGCCUACCAAACCCUGACAAACUCCGAAUGCUAUCAUAUAUCGCCGGGAGUGAGGCUGUGGGCGCUAAGGUCCAUGGCCGAGAGGGAAAUAACCCAGAUUAGCAUCUAAGGUCCCCAAUACGUGGUUAAGUUGAUCAAACGAGGUGGGAUUUCUAUAACAGCCAGGAUGUUGGCUUGGAAGCAGCCAUUCAUUUAAAGAGUGCGUAACAGCUCACUGGUCGAGAGAUCCUGCACGGAAAAUAAUCGGGCAUCAAACCACGAACCGAAGAUCUAAAUUCUAGCUUGCUAGAGUGGUAGGGGAGCAUUGAAAUCUGCAUCGAAGGUGUGGCGCGAGCCAUGCUGGAGCGAUUUCAAAAGAAAAUGUAGGUAUAAGUAACGAUAAAAGUAGUGAAAAACUACUUCGCCGAAAGUCUAAGGUUUCCUGAUCAACGUUAAUCGGAUCAGGGUUAGUCUGGUCCUUAGGAAAACCCGAAAGGGACAUCUGAUGGAAAGCUAGUUAAUAUUCUAGCACCUACUAUGCAUUAAAAGUGACGCAGGGACGUGGUUGUUACGAACAGACGGAUGUUCGUUGAGUGGAACCUUCGGGGGAAGCGAAACAAUAAAAUCCCUGCCAAGAAAAGCGAGCAUAGCAGCCAGUACCGGAAUCCGACACAGGUAGACGGGAUGAGUAUUCUAAGGCGCUCGGGUGAGCCGCGGAGAAGGAACUAGGCAAAUUAAUGCUGUAACUUCGGGAUAAAGCGUACCGCAGUGAUGCGGUCACAGUAAAUAGGUACAACCAACUGUUUAACAAAAACACAGGGCCCUGCAAAAUCGAAAGAUGACGUAUAGAGCCUGAUACCUGCCCGGUGCUGGAAGGUUAAGGAAGGGUGUUCGACGCAAGUCAAAGCUCCUGACUGAAGCCCCAGUAAACGGCGGCCGUAACUAUAACGGUCCUAAGGUAGCGAAAUUCCUUGUCGGGUAAGUUCCGACCUGCACGAAUGGUCUAAUGAGUUGUACACUGUCUCCUCCGCGAGCCCGGUGAAAUUGUAGUAUCGGUGAAGAUGCCGGUUACCCGCCACGGGACGGAAAGACCCCGUGAACCUUCACUACAACUUUGCAUUGAUUUUGAACAACCGAUGUGUAGGAUAGUUGGGAGACUUUGAAGUGGCAUCGCCAGGUGUCAUGGAGUCAUCGUUGAAAUACCAACCUUCGUUUGUUUAGAACCUAAUCCCUAACGGGAGACAGUGCAUGGUGGGUAGUUUGACUGGGGUGGUCGCCUCCUAAAAAGUAACGGAGGCUCGCAAAGGUACCCUCAGUACGGUUGGUAAUCGUACGUAGAGCGCAUUAGUAAAAGGGUGCUUGACUGUGAGACAAACAAGUCGAGCAGGAGCGAAAGCUGGCUAAAGUGAUCCGGUGAUUCUGCAUGGAAGGGUCAUCGCUCAAAGGAUAAAAGGUACUCCGGGGAUAACAGGCUGAUCUUACCCAAGAGCUCAUAUCGACGGUAAGGUUUGGCACCUCGAUGUCGGUUCGUCACAUCCUGGGGCUGGAGAAGGUCCCAAGGGUUCGGCUGUUCGCCGAUUAAAGUGGCACGUGAACUGGGUUCAGAACGUCGCAAGACAGUUCGGUCCCUAUCUGUGGUGGGCGUUAGUAAAUUGAGUGGACAUGCUCUUAGUACGAGAGGACCGGAGCGUACGUACCGCUGGUGUAUCUGUUAUGCCGCCAGGUGUAAUGCAGAGUAGCUAUGUACGGCCAGGAUAAACGCUGAAAGCAUCUAAGCGUGAAACCUUCCACAAGAUGAGUUUACUUUUAAGGGUCGUCAAAGACUAUGACGUUGAUAGGCUAUAGAUGUAAGGCUAGUAAUAGC
rnacentral:rRNA from 1 species